CUCAGCCACGCAAUUUAUUUCCUCCUUACUUCAGUCAUCUCCUUUCUCUCUCUCUUUUCAUUUCAUUUUCCUGUCAACCUCCAUCUACCUCCAUCUCCCAUGGAACUCAAACUCCAAAACCCAACAACAACACCAUUUCCCUUUUCUCUCUCGCAUUUCUUUCAAUCUGAUCUUCCGGCGAACAUGACAGAUCAAAUGAGGCCUUCUUACGCAACCUAAACGCUGCUGUUCAGGGUCGCACCAAAGCUCAGAAUCCCACUAAUGUCCUUCGGUCUAAGAUGAUUUUGAAUGUGAGUUAAGGGAGCUGCGAAUAAUGGACAAUCUUGAAGAAGAAGAAGAUGGUGCAGAGAAAACCAAGCAGGCCUGCAGAAGAUGCUGAGGAGCUUACCAAUGUUCCUUUACAAGCCAUUCUUUUGGCUGAUACCUUUGCCACUAGAUUUCGCCCUAUUACCCUUGAAAGUCCCAAGCCAAGUAAAGGAGAGAGUCAAUGCUUUCGCCAGUUUCUCUAUUCAAGUGAGAAGAUAAUAUUGCUCCUGCCAAGCAAGGCUUGGAGCUUGUUUCCGUGUUCAGGCUAGCUCAUUAUGAUGUUUUUUUAUUAUAACUUCCACUUCAGGCAAGCUUAUUCUUCUCUUUUUUUCCUUCAGCAGAUAUGAAUUUCUUUCUAUCUUCUCUCUUUUGAUUUCUUCAUUUACUCUUGCUUCGGAUUAUUACCUUGUGUUGACUAUUUGUUGUGGUUUGUAUGAUUUCUUUGUCUUCGUGUUUUUAACACGUGCAAAUGCAGCCGAGACUCAACCACCAUCAUAAUUAGAGUCACCAAAGUUGUAAAUGGCAAAAAGUUGGCAUCUUCCGAUGACCCAAUGACCUGGUUGCUUCGUGGUUCAAAAGAUUGAACUAAUGCGAACCCAACUGCCACUGCUUGGAGUUGGAUUUUAAGACUCCUACUGGUACUAAUAAAAAUCCAUAUCAACUCUUGAGUGUUUUAAGGAUGACAUGAAAUGAGAGAGAGAGAAAACACUAUCUUUGAGUCACUUAUGGUAAGCUUUGAUGAAGAGGGAACAAAGCUGAAGAGUGAACACUAUGUAUGAGAGAAUUAAAACCAGGUUGUUUUUAGCAAAAACCAGCUCUCAUUUCAUCUAGAAUUUACUACUCAUCUUAAAUUGGUGUUCAUCCAAGGGUUUCGUUUAGUAAUGUGAUAGAACCAGGUUGUGUACUACAGCGAUGUGGAAUGUAGAUGAAUCAUAAUUCAAUUUAGCCCAAUGGAUAUAAGAUUUGUGGUGGUGGCUGUUGGGGAAUGACCUAGGUGACACUCUCGCGAACUCGAUGAAAGGGAAAAUUAAAGAGAGCUAGGUAACAUCUUUGUGGCCUUGCAUACUUGAUGCUAUAUUGAUGUGCUCAGAAUUUGCUUGCUUAGCCUUAUUCUGCUACUAUUCCAGUUGUGGGCGAUGUGGCUGCUUGAAUGGUAGUGAAGACUAUCAUCUACUGCUUUCAGCCUUUGUUUCGAUGGCUAUAUAAGUACUAGAGGUCUGAAACUUUGUCAUUUUGAUGUAUUCGUGGACCAUCAUUUUGGAGAGUAGCAUUGAGCUUGUAUUUCAGAAAAAAAUGCUUACAUGGAGUACAAAAAGGUGGAGGAGGAUAGCUGAGGGGGAAUGGGAGGAUGUGCCAACUCCUUUUGUUCUUUUAAAAAAAAAAUCCAUAAAACCUUUUAGAAUUGUUGAAUUCAAUAGUGAAAUGGGUGAUGAUUCCUUGAAAUACACUAUAGAUAAGCAUUGGCAAAUCUCCACCCUUACCUGUUCUUCCAUCUGAGCCACACGUUCUUUUAUUUCUCUCCUCUUUUUCACGUCUCUAUUCGGUCUCCUCAAUCCUCUCUCCUCUCUCUAUUCCUUGCCUCAUUAGUUGUCUCUCUCCUCUUUUUCAGUUUUUUUUUUAUUGCUAUGGAGUUAUGGAGCGCCAUUAAAGGUGAAUCUCGCUCUCCUCUUCAAUAUGACUUGUAGUAUUGUGUUUUGCUUUGGAUUUUUUAUCGAUGCUAAUUCAGUUCUUGUGAUUGUCAUAUUUUGAGUUAGGGUUCUUAAUUUUUCUUUCCGAUUUUUGUAAUUUUUUUCUUUUAAAAAUCUUUGAUCUAAUUUGAAUUGAAGGGGUGACCAUGGUUUUGAUAGAUUUUAGUUUUUGAUACAAUUUUUUGUGAUUUCUCGGUUAGGUUCUCCUUCUACGCCAAAUCAAAGCUCUACCUAAUCCUAUGACCUUCGAUGAAGCUUCCAUGUUCGUUAAGGCUUUGCAGGAUCUAAAGGUGUACUUUGGUUGGUUCUGAGGUUGAAAUUUGAGAUCCACAUGCCUUCAAACUCAUCUAAAACGGCUGAGUACAUCAAAGUUGAUCUUCAACAACACUCCUGAAUUCAAUUCCCGAAAACCCCUCUAACUGAAUUUCUCUCUCGUUCCAAUCAAAGCCUUAUCAUCUUCAAAAUCUCCCACAAAUAGCACCAACACCCGCAACCCAUACCCAAAACGGUCCUUAGAAGGUUGGAAAUCAAAGAAAGCACUUCAACAACCCGAAUACCCAGACCCGAAUGAGUUGGAUUUGGUUCUUAAAACACUUGAAUUUUUCCCACCCAUUGUAUGUGCAGGUGAAGCUAGAAGCCUUGAAGAAAGAAUUGGUCAAGCUGCGAUGGGAAAAGUUUUUUUACUUCAAGGUGGAGAUUGUGCUGAGAGUUUUAAGGAGUUUAGUCUAAUAAUGUUAAAGAUUCUUUCAGGCUUCUUCUACAGAUGAGUGUUCUUAUGUUUGGUGGUUAAAUGCUUGUUGUCAAGGGGUGUUAACGAGCCGAACCUGAAUAGGCUCGACUCGAGAAGGGGCAGGACCAGGCUCAAAAAUAUGGGCUCGGCUCGAGCUCGAAACAAAAAAAUCCAGCUCGGCUCGAGAAAGUUUGUGAACUAUUAGGCUCGAAAAAAAGCGCGAGAAAAAUUUAUAUGUAUUUCGACGAGACUGUUUUGUGGAAUACAGGACUACAACAAAAAAAAGGAAUACAUGACUAUAGUAGAUGAAAUUAGCCAAAACAAAGUUGGCUAACUCAAAGAAAUUCACCUACAACACUUAUAUAUCAAAGGAGGAAAUAAAAUAAAAGGUAAAAGAAAAACAAAAAUAAGAAAGGGAGGAGAAAGCACUCAGGAUGAAGAAACGAAAAACAAAAAAGACGUAAUUCAUGAGAUGACAUCAACCAAAACAAAGUUGGUUGCUUGCAUGUUGCUGCUUGCCGCACACUUCUUGCCGGCACUAUGAGGCACACCAAGUCUCAGCCCCCAAGUGUGCAAAUGGUAGAUUAGGGAUUUAGGGUUGAAGCUAAAUAAAAACCCUUGAACGGCUGGGAAGUUGAUAUUCCUUUCUAUACUUAGGUAUUUGUUUUUGUAUUUUUAGGUCGUUUGGAAAUUUUUUGGUUUGUAUUUUUUUUGUGGGCUGGAGUGAAUUUAUGAUCCGAGUUGGAAUAAUAAUCAACUAGAAUUAUUUGCACGCGAUGCGUGCUUGAA